AGAGAGCAGGGUGAGAUGGAGAGCAGGGUGAGAGAGAGAGCAGGAGAGAGAGCAGGGUGAGAGAGAUAGAGAGCAGGGUGAGAGAGAUAGAGAGCAGGGUGAGAGAGAGAGCAGGGUGAGAUGGAGAGCAGGGUGAGAUGGAGAGCAGGGUGAGAUGGAGAGCAGGGUGAGAGAGAGCAGGGUGAGAUGGAGAGCAGGGUGAGAUAGAGAGAGAGGAGAGGGAGAGCAGGGUGAGAGAGAGGGAGAGCAGGGUGAGAGAGAGGAGAGGGUGAGAGAGAGCAGGCAGGGUGAGAGAGAGAGCAGGGUGAGAGAGAGAGAGAGCAGGGUGAGAGAGAGACAGCAGGGUGAGAGAGAGAGAGCAGGGUGAGAGAGAGAGCAGGGUGAGAGAGAGAGCAGGGUGAGAGAGACAGAGAGACAGCAGGGUGAGAGAGAGAGAGAGCAGGGUGAGAGAGAGAGGUCUGGUCUAUUUCCAGUCAAACGUGCCCAGGUCCUUCCCGAGCCCUGGUUGUGUUACCCUCGUGACGUGGUUGGUUCCCGCACCAUUACCCCACCACCUGACUGCAUCUCGGCGUGUCGUGGUGUGACAGCCCUGCCGGUCCACCCCUCUCACCACGACCCAGAGCCCCCCC
ensembl:lncRNA